rnacentral:pre_miRNA from 1 species
GGCAUAUGCUUUACCAAGUUUCAAAUUCUCAAUAUAUACAUAAGCGUGUAUAUAUUGAGAAUUUGAAACUUGGUAAAGCUCUUUAAUUAAGAAUGUGUA